rnacentral:rRNA from 1 species
AUUGAACGCUGGCGGCAGGCCUAACACAUGCAAGUCGAGCGAGCGGCGGACGGGUGAGUACUGUCUGGGACUCUGCCCGAUAGAGGGGGAUAACUACUGGAAACGGUGGCUACUACCGCAUACUAUCGGAUGUACCCAUAUGGGAUUAGCUAGUAGGUGGGGUAAAGGCUCACCUAGGCGACGAUCCCUAGCUGGUCUUAGAGGAUGAUCAGCCACACUGGAACUGAGACACGGUCCAGACUCCUACGGGAGGCAGCAGUGGGGAAUAUUGCACAAUGGGCGCAAGCCUGAUACAGCCAUGCCGCGUGUAUGAAGAAGGCCUUAGGGUUGUAAAGUACUUUCAGCGGGGAGGCGUUACCCGCAGAAGAAGCACCGGCUAACUCCGUGCCAGCAGCCGCGGUAAUUC